rnacentral:tRNA from 1 species
GGUCGGAUAGCUCAGCUGGUAGAGCACGGCGCUGAAAACGCCGGUGUCCCCGGUUCAAAUCCGGGUCCGACCACCA